AAAAGAAAAACAGACUCAUUGAAAUAUGGAAGGGUUUGUCUAGUAAUUUCGUAUAUAUUAAUUGAUAUUGAAACAAAAAAUCUUAUUUGUUAUGUAAUCACUAUUUUCAAUGCCAAAGUAAUGCAAAGUAAAUUUUGGGUAUAGGUAGAUCAAAUAAUAAUAACAGCGUUCUGAAACAUUCGAAAAAAUUGUUUGUACUGAAAGAUGAUUGUGUUAAAUUUCGAUUGACUUUACGCCAAAAACUUGAGUGAAAAUGCAACCACAGCUGUGGGUGAUUUUAAACUCAAUUUUUCACACACUCUGACAUACUCAAUAGUUUAAGUACACACGAAACAGCCAUUAAUUUAAGUGAAGUUUAAAAUAAAUAUGAUACGUCUUCUGAAUAGUAAACAUGAUAUAAUGCGUUUCUUAAAUUAAAUUUAAUAGAAUAUUGGCCUGUGUGGUGUUACGAUUUCACAAAAUGUGUUUUUUUUUUUGUAGACAGCGCCGACUCGACCCGUUAACAAAACUUUCCAUAAUAAAAUAACAUCAACGAUAUCGUUUGUUGCUAUCAAACAGAGUUGAAAAGUAGAAACUGUACUUGUGUCUUAGCCCUCAACUUUUCAAGCUGUGGAUGAAGUACUAGACCAUCCAGUAGGACUACGAAAAGGGCACUGGCAGGC